rnacentral:tRNA from 1 species
UUUCAACUGGUAGAAAGUAUGUUUUGCAAAUAUAAGGUUAUCGGUUCGAAUCCGAU